GUAAUAGAGGCGCGGACUUCAUCAGUAGCCGGGCGUCAGUUGGGAAAACUGCCGGCGAAAGGGGAUUCCGCCGAAGCGUACGCGUUGCCCGGACGCGUAUGGCUGGGACAGCGUGGAAUACGCGCUGUACUGUCGCCGGGAUAUCCGGCGGAGUGCUAUUCG
rnacentral:ncRNA from 1 species